GGUGCCAGCAGGGCUGCGAUCCUUCUGGAGGCUCCAGGGAGAAUCCAUUUCCUUGCAUUUCCAGCUUCAAUGUCCCCGCAUGCCUUGGAUUGUGGCCCCACCCUCCAUCUUCAAAGCCACAGAAGAAUUUGGUAUUUCAGAUGGCAGCUUUUCUGAGAGCAGUUCCUUUCCUUCAUCAUGGACUUCAUUCUGGCCAAUUCCUAGAGAGCCAGUCUGAACAGCUCAACUCUUCAGUGUGGUCAGAUGUCCGUGUUGUCUAAGCAGGCAAAAAGGACAGCUGAGGCCCAACGCUUCCACUGUCCUGGGGAGAAGCAGCAGAUUUGAGAGCAGGGUGUGCAUCUGGAACACACUUCGGAAAGCACUGUAAAGCUAUUCAGCAAAAGUGAUCCUUUCUGG